GUGAACCCAAAUUUGGAUUUCCCCCUCUCCAAGGAUAUAUGUCAACCAAAUGGCUCUGUGGCCCAUCCUGUUUUCCCAAUAGAUAAAACAUCAUCUUCUUACCAACAAGGCCGGAGCGAUAUUCCUAAUGGAGCACUAAGUCAAUGCUCAGUGGACACAUCAGAUAACUCACUAUGCCGUAGCCUGGGAAUGCAAUUGCCUCCCCUUGAUGGAUUUGCUGAAUAUCUUAAUCAGUUCCCUGAGGAUGACCUGCAAAGCUUUGUGCAGAUGGGAUUUACCCAAAACCCCAACAAGGAUAUGACACUGCAAUCACAAGGGCCUCAUCAAACGUCUCACAUGAAAAUUGAGAUGUAGUCACCAUUCA
rnacentral:misc_RNA from 1 species